rnacentral:SRP_RNA from 10 species
GCCAAGUGUGAUGGCAUGUGCCUGUAGUCUCAGCUACUCAGGAGGCUAAGGCGGGAGGAUCACUUGAGUCCAGGAGCUCCGGGUUGUUGUGAGUUAUGCCUCUCAGGUGUCGACACUAAGUUCGGCGUCAACCCAGCGACCUCCUGGGAGGGGUGAACUAGCUUAGGUUGGAAAUGGAGGAGGUCAGAAUUCCUAAGCUGAUCAGUAGUGGGAUUGCGCCUUGGAAUUGUGCUCCAGACUCGGCAACAUUUUGAGAUCCUGUCU